AACGAACGCUGGCGGCGUGGAUAAGACAUGCAAGUCGAACGGGACCAGGUUUGUAGUAAUACCGACUUGGUUCAGUGGCGCACGGGUGCGUAACACGUGAGCAAUCUGCCGGGAAGUGGGGGAUAGCUCGCCGAAAGGCGAAUUAAUACCGCAUGUGGCCAUCCUUCGAGUGGCGGAAAAGCCAAAGCAACAAUGCGCUUCCUGAUGAGCUCGCGGCCUAUCAGCUCGAUGGCGGGGUAACGGCCCAACAUGGCUUUGACGGGUAGCUGGUCUGAGAGGACGACCAGCCACACUGGAACUGAGAUACGGUCCAGACACCUACGGGUGGCAGCAGUCGAGAAUUUUUCACAAUGGGGGCAACCCUGAUGGAGCGACGCCGCGUGGAGGAUGAAGGCCUUCGGGUUGUAAACUCCUGUCAUGCGGGAACAAGCAAGUGGUAGUACCGCAAGAGGAAGAGACGGCUAACUCUGUGCCAGCAGCCGCCGUAAAAC
rnacentral:rRNA from 1 species